CCUACGGGAGGCAGCAGUGGGGAAUAUUGCACAAUGGGCGAAAGCCUGAUGCAGCGACGCCGCGUGAGGGAUGACGGCCUUCGGGUUGUAAACCUCUUUUAGUAGGGAAGAAGCGAAAGUGACGGUACCUGCAGAAAAAGCACCGGCUAACUACGUGCCAGCAGCCGCGGUAAU
rnacentral:rRNA from 1 species